rnacentral:misc_RNA from 1 species
UCGCUGGUUUUCUUCCCCGUUUUCGUGGCCUCUUUUCAGGUUCCACAACUUUGCUGCUAUCUGUUUGUCUAACAACAGAGGCUUCGAGAUCAGACUGAUCUGAAUCUCCCGUACCACCACUUGAUUUCACCACACCAGAAGAAGGCAAGACAACACCAGAAGUAAAAGAAAGCAUCCCUUCUUCGUUGCUACCCCUUGAGGUUGGGGAUCUUUUCUUCUUGUUGUUCUCCUCCACUGCAACCUGCGAAUGACCUGAAAAGAAAUUUCCAU